rnacentral:misc_RNA from 1 species
UCAACCCUCAAGCCCCGCUUGGUGUUGGGCCCUGCCCGUGUACGGCCGGCCCUAAAGACAGUGGCGGCGCCGCUCGGCCCUGAGUGCAGUACAGCUCUCGCUCCAGGGUCGCGCGGUGGCCUGCCAGAACCCCCAACUCUGUGG